rnacentral:tRNA from 1 species
UGCCUGGUGGUCCAGUGGCUAAGACUCUGUGCUCCUAAUACAGGGAUCUGGGUUCAAUUCCUGGUUAGGAAA